AGGGGUUGAUAUUUUACUAGAAAAAGAAACCUAAUACAAAGAAAGAUUGUGUUAAACCCAUAAAAACCUAAGGUGGUUAGUAGUCAGCCAGCAGUCUGCUUCAACGAUACACAGAUAGGAGUGCCUGCCUGGGGUUAGUUCAUUUGGUGGGAGAUUGAAAACUAAAACAACGAUCUAAAUAUCGUGUAAACUCUAGAGGGUUAGGAGAGGGAGAGAGAAAAAGACUAGGGCUCAGAGUGAGAGUUUAAAGACUGACUGGUCAUGUCAGUGCCUAUAAGAGUCAAAAGGUCAAAGCUAGAGAAGGUCAAAGGUUUAAUGUCAAGGGUUAGGUCAAGGUGACUUUGUGUGCAUUGACACUCAGUUUAGGCAGGACCCUGUCAGUGGGAGGAGAGGAGAUACACAGUGCUCAAAAUGCCAGGGCCAAGGCAAUACUACCCACGCAACUGCUGUCAAUGCCACCAAACUCCACCGUUCAGUUAGAACUCUUUCAUUUUAAAUGUGUGGUACUUCGAAAAAUAAAAACUUGAAUUGAGUUCUUUUAGUUCUUUUUUCUUUCUCCCUUUCCUCUUAGCCCAUCCAGACAGCUGCAAUAGACUUUAAAACAGAAGACGGUCAGACAAAAUAACCAUUUCACAGGAAUAGACACGAAGAUCUGGGACUAUUGUACGAACAGAGGCUGUGUUCUCAAAAUGGUGGACAAAAAAAACAAAAUAAAAAUGGGGAACAAACAAACAAAACUAGAAAAAAGGAACAUCUUGUGUGGUGUCAAAGAUCGUUCUGUAAGAGUUGACACUGUGUAAGUGACGAUGUGUGUUUGUGUUUUGUAAAUUUGUUUGUGAGUGUCAGAUUGACAUUCAGUGUGGAUUAGGACAUACAAAGACUGUGGAACAUAAUCAUUAUCAAAACACCCUUUAACAGAACAUAUGUCAUGGCCUCACUCAAUGGUGAUCAUAUCAUUUUCUAUAGCUCUCUAUAGAUGUGUGUGUAUAUAUAUAUAUAUAUAUAU
rnacentral:lncRNA from 1 species